rnacentral:misc_RNA from 1 species
AAGUCGUAACAAGGUAACCGUAGGUGAACCUGCGGUUGGAUCAUUACUGAUUACUCCCGACUUGGAGUUGAUUCGCAAGAGUCCUCCUGUCGGAAGAACACCCUGUGCACCAUUCUGUUUUUUGGGUUGUUACUACUGUAGAAUUGGAGUAAGAGUCUAACUCGAGCUUUGAUUUUUUCAGUGUAGCGGCCCAGUUUUGAAAAAAGACCAUUAGAAUUCGUCUGAAAUUUUAUUUAUAAUAAUAAACAACUUUUGACAACGGAUCUCUUGGCUCUC